UUUUUGUAUUUUUAGUAGAGAUGGGGUUUCACCAUGUUGGCCAGGCCAGCCUCAAACUCCUGACCUCAAGUGAUCCAGCUGGCUUGGCCUCCCAGAGUGCUGAGAUUACCGGCGUUAGCCACCACGCCCAGCCUUCCCGUUUUUUCUGAUUGGCCUGACUUCUUCUUUUUCUCUUUGGUAGCCUCCACCUCCCCAGCUUGGCUAUUCGAUCACUGCCGAGGACCUAGACUUAGAGAAGAAGGCUUCAUUACAGUGGUUCAACCAGGCCUUGGAGGACAAGAGUGAUGCUGCCUCGAACUCUGUCACUGAGACCCCACCUACCACUCAGCCUUCAUUUACCUUUACCCUGCCUGCUGCUGCAACUGCCUCCCCACCCACCUCCCUCCUGGCCCCAAGCACCAACCCACUGUUAGAGAGCUUGAAGAAGAUGCAGACUCCCCCGAGCCUGCCACCCUGCCCAGAAUCUGCUGGAGCAGCAACCACUGAGGCCCUCUCACCUCCAAAGACACCCAGCCUCCUACCCCCGCUGGGUUUAUCACAGUCAGGGCCGCCAGGGCUGCUCC
rnacentral:lncRNA from 10 species